UAAUACGUAGGGUGCGAGCGUUAAUCGGAAUUACUGGGCGUAAAGCGUGCGCAGGUGGUUUCGUAAGCUGGAGGUGAAAUCCCCGGGCUUAACCUGGGAAUGGCCUUCAGGACUGCGAGGCUAGAGUGCGGCAGAGGGAGGUGGAAUUCCACGUGUAGCAGUGAAAUGCGUAGAUAUGUGGAGGAACACCGAUGGCGAAGGCAGCCUCCUGGGCCAGCACUGACGCUCAUGCACGAAAGCGUGGGGAGCAAACAGGAUUAGAUACCCUGGUAGUCCACGCCCUAAACGAUGUCAACUAGGUGUUGGGGAAGGUGACUUCCUUAGUACCGCAGCUAACGCGUGAAGUUGACCGCCUGGGGAGUACGGCCGCAAGGUUA
rnacentral:rRNA from 1 species